CGAACGCUGGCGGCGUGCUUAACGCAUGCAAGUCGAACGGUGAAGCUCCAGCUUGCUGGAGUGGAUCAGUGGCGAACGGGUGAGUAACACGUGAGCAACCUGCCCCUGACUCUGGAAUAAGCGCUGGAAACGGCGUCUAAUACUGGAUACGAGAAGGGCCCGCAUGGGCACUUUCUGGAAAGUUUUUCGGUUGGGGAUGGGCUCGCGGCCUAUCAGCUUGUUGGUGAGGUAAUGGCUCACCAAGGCGACGACGGGUAGCCGGCCUGAGAGGGCGACCGGCCACACUGGGACUGAGACACGGCCCAGACUCCUACGGGAGGCAGCAGUGGGGAAUAUUGCACAAUGGGCGAAAGCCUGAUGCAGCGACGCCGCGUGAGGGAUGACGGCCUUCGGGUUGUAAACCUCUUUCAGCAGGGAAGAAGCGAAAGUGACGGUACCUGCAGAAGAAGCACCGGCUAACUACGUG
rnacentral:rRNA from 1 species